AUAUAUAUUUAUGAAUUAACCUAUCUGGGUUGACUUUUACUUGAUAUAUUGGAAAAAAAUAGUCAACAGCUCCCGGCAUUAAAUUAACAUUUACUUUUAUGUUUUGUUUCUUAGCGUAGGCUAGACCAGAAUACCCGUUCAGUGUAUUCAUGAAUUCUAUUUAUUGUGUUCGAAGUCCUCAUCCGAAGCCUGACGGAAACAGCCGAAAAGUUACGAUUGUGGUGCUGUUGGCAACAUUGAAGAGGUGAAACUAAACAGUUCGUAAGACAGGCAAGUCAAUGCAUUCGGACCUGGUUUACAGACAUCAAAAUAGCUUCUUAUUUGAGGACACACCCAAAGAUGACACGGGCCCUCCACACGUAUGUCCAUGGCUAAAGGGUGACGCAUGCCCUUGUUCAGGAUCCUAUCAACUGUGCCAACACUGUAGGAAGUACAGUUACGCUUGAUAAGAUUUUAUACAAGAUGCCCGCCAUUGUGACGAAUUUUGUUCAACAACGCCACCACUUUAUUGAAACAUCAUGACAGAAACUUUACGGAGAAAUAGACUGAGAUACGUUGAUAGUGUUUGGAGAAAUAGGCUGAGAUACAUUGAUAGUGUUUGUUUGCGUAGUGAUUUUUCAUAUAUAAUCAUUUUUCAUUUAUAAAUAUUCGUUUCUUGUAAAUAAAUUUGUAUAUAUUUUC